rnacentral:tRNA from 1 species
GCUGGAGUAGCUCAGUUGGUUAGAGCGUGUGGCUGUGAACUACAAGGUCGGAGGCGUUCUCCAAUU